AGUGAACGCUGGCGGAAUGCUUAACACAUGCAAGUCGAGCGGCAGCACGGGGACAACCCUCCUUUCGAGCUGGCGACGGGCGGGUAAGUCAGCGGUACAUACCCAUCCGUUUUGACUAAGACGACGACGGAAGUGCUAAUACCGUAUACGUCCAUAUGUUGAACGGGGGGGAUCACAAGACCUCGCGCGAUUGGCUGGGCCGAUGUCAGAUUAGCUAGUUGGUUGGGUAAAGGCCUACCAAGGCAACGAUCCGUAGCUGGGCUGAGAGGAUGAUCAGCCACACUGGAACUGAGACACGGCCCAGACUCCUACGGGAGGCAGCAGUGGGGAAUUUUGGACAAUGGGCGCAAGCCUGAUCCAGCCAUUCCGCGUGAGUGAAGAAGGCCUUCGGGUUGUAAAGCUCUUUUGUUAGGAAAGAAAAGGUGCGCUCUAAAAUAGCGCGGUAAUGACGGUACCUGAAGAAGAAGCACCGGCUAACUACGUG
rnacentral:rRNA from 1 species